GACGAACGCUGGCGGCGUGCUUAACACAUGCAAGUCGAACGGAAAGGCCCUGCUUUUGUGGGGUGCUCGAGUGGCGAACGGGUGAGUAACACGUGAGUAACCUGCCCUUGACUUUGGGAUAACUUCAGGAAACUGGGGCUAAUACCGGAUAGGAGCUCCUGCUGCAUGGUGGGGGUUGGAAAGUUUCGGCGGUUGGGGAUGGACUCGCGGCCUAUCAGCUUGUUGGUGGGGUAGUGGCUUACCAAGGCUUUGACGGGUAGCCGGCCUGAGAGGGUGACCGGCCACAUUGGGACUGAGAUACGGCCCAGACUCCUACGGGAGGCAGCAGUGGGGAAUAUUGCACAAUGGGAGGAAGCCUGAUGCAGCAACGCCGAGUGCGGGAUGACGGAAUUCGGGUUGUAAACCGCUUUCGCCUGUGACGAAGCGUGAGUGACGGUAAUGGGUAAAGAAGAACCGGCUAACUACGUG
rnacentral:rRNA from 1 species